CCUAGACCCAUUCUUCCAGGCUGAUGCUGAGUUUAUUUACUCUGAGCAACAUUUUCAGGAAUCAACAUCAGCAGAUUACUACAAUGAAAUUUUUUUUUUAGUUUAGCCUCAAGCCUAUGAAAUUAAUUUCCAUUUUGAUAAUCACAAGACGUUGGCCCUGAAAGCCUACAAGAAAAACUUGGAAUGCUUUAGGAAAUCAUGUUUAUAAUUAAAGCACUGGCAUUUUUCUUCUCAUUACAGAAUAAAGGCUGAAUACAAUUUUUGAAACUUUACCUUUUUUUAAUUUCAAUAAGCUGCUUACGAUCCUCUUGCAUUCAUUGACAGGAUUUUUGGCCCAUUCUGCUAUUCUAGUCCACAACCAUUUAACUGCUAAAUGUUAGCAGAUUACAAGUGACUAACAGUGGAAUAUUCGGAAUUCUAUACACCAUUAUUUUAAUUCCUACCACAGCUAGAAUUCACACAAGAUAGAAGUUCAAAAACAAGUUUGGGCACUAUAUUUUGCCCAUCUUCUUGUAGAUAUAGUUAGAACACUGAUGUGUCAUCACCUUAUUCCUCUCAGCAUACCUGGCACGUGUCUGAGAGAAUGAGUGAAUUAAAUGAACGAAUAAAUAUGCAAGGUACCCAAUGUCUAUUUGACUAUUUAGACUUGUGGAAGAAGUGGCAGCUUUUUAGUGAUUACUAGCGUGGGUUCUAUAUUAUAAAUGUUCUUAAAUAAAAAUACAAAAUGAACACAAUAAGACACUAAGUAUAUGUCAUAAAUCUGAAAUAAAAUUGCUAAGCACUCCAUUAUCAUAAAAUUCUUUUUAGAAGUCUUCCAAGAGAGGGAAAUUGGGGAAGUAAAACCAAACUUACAAGAAGGCCAGAAG
rnacentral:lncRNA from 1 species